rnacentral:lncRNA from 1 species
AAUCUGCCUCCAGCCCAAUCUGCAUCCCUCUGCUCUUGGCAUGCCCUCCUGGAGCCCGGCAGGAGGCACGGCGGCCAGCCAGAGCAGCCGGCCUGGCUUCACCCUGCCCCCAGCCUCUGGAGCUCCGCGGCCCCCACGCCCACUCCUUUCACCGACCUGAAUAAAAGCUCCCUGCCUGGAUGGGAGGAGACAAAGGGAAUAUUAGGAAGGUGGGUAGGGAAAGAGAGAGGCGUGAGGAACUCUGUGCAUGGAGACGAGCGGACAACUGCUGAGCCUGAGUCUGGGGUUUGGAGUUCAGGUUUUGAGAGUGUCUCACUUCCUGAGCAGCAUGGGGCUGGUAAUUUAUU